GUACGGGAACCGGGAUUAAUACCGCAUAAAAUCGUAGAAACACAUGUUUUAACGGUCAAAGAUUUAUCGGUCAUAGAUGGGCUCGCGUCUGAUUAGCUAGUUGGUGAGAUAACAGCCCACCAAGGCGACGAUCAGUAGCCGGUCUGAGAGGAUGAACGGCCACAUUGGAACUGAGACACGGUCCAA
rnacentral:rRNA from 1 species